AAAAAUCUUCAGGUUUAUUUUCUGAGAUAUUGUUGUAGGGAGUGACAAGAGGCAAUGUGAUAGAGAAAUUUUUAAAAAAGAAUAUGAUGAUUCCUUAUUGCAGAGGAGAUUCACAAAUUUAACUGUAGUUAAGAUACAAAUUACAGCUUUAAAUAAGUUUCAUGUAACCACAUCAAAUAGUUGUGUUGUUGGUAAAGUUAAACAACUUAUAUUUUUUUAUUUUUACAUGACUGAACUCGCAAAACAAGUGAAUUUCUUAUCCUGAAAAGAGUUCCUAUCAAUGCAAGAUGUUCAAAUGUUCAGAAUCCAAGUGAAAGAAUCAUUUGCACGCAAUUAUCAACCAACAUCUGGAAAGGUGUAUAUUCAGUCAUGUGCUGAAAACGAAAAGUAGUCUGGUUCCCUCCUGACACUAACCUUGAAUGACAUUGGAGAAGACAACAAAAAAAUGAACACUUUUGUUCAGUCAAAGGAGACACAAAAGUAGCAACUGAACUAGGUGGAUUUGAAUAUGGGGAGGGUGGGGGGUGAGGGCGGAAACAACUUUAAUGGAAAAUAUAAUGGGAAAAAAAAAUAAGUGGAAGAGUCUGAAGAACAAUUUGUUUGGAGUAUACCUUUGUUGUCUAUUCUCUGGAUUUAAUAUUAUUGAUUGAAAAAAAAAGUUUCCUUUUCAGGAGACAUCAACUAUGUCCAUUUGUGCUAUACCAGUGGCUUUGAAAUGUCUAACAGUUAAAUAGGGAUGGAUAACACAGAGAUAUAGUAUGUGACAAUAGAACUGGAAUGCUAAAGAUUUAGUUUUAAAUUAAAUGAGAUUCGCCAAGAAGUAUGAAGGAUUGCCUUACCUCCUGCACUAGCUAUUGAAUCUCCUUUGUAAAAAUUUAUACCUAGGUGUGAUAUUUUUAAAUUUCCUUACUUAAAUUUCUGAUUUCGACACUCAAUAAGACGGCAAUUUUUUUUUUCUUGAAAGUAUUUAAGAAGAAGGACAAGAAAAAAGAGAAGAAGGAGCUCACUUCACGCCUCCUAGAAUUACAAUAUUGGUAGGCGUUACAUAAAACACAUGAAAUAGGCCUAAUUAAGAAGGACAAGUAAAUGAACCAAAAUUUAGUGUAUAUGAGUUGGUGUUUAAUUCUUUUGGAUAUAAUUUCUUGCAUAUAAUUUCUUGCUAGAUUUUUUAGUCACAUGUGAGUAAUUUUAUAAGAUUUUCACAUGCAUCAUGUCUCUUUGAUGCGCUUUGUCUUUGUCAUCAAUUAAUUAGUGAAAAAUUGAACGGUCUUAUGGAAAAUCAAAGAAAAAUACCUGAAAGUAUGCACGAAGUGGACUAUGCACCUAGGUGUUUGCUGGAUCUAUUUUCUUUUUAUUCUUUAAUACAGUAAAAACAGGGUCAUUGUUGGUCUGAGAUGCAAUUUUGAGCUCUUUGAAGCAUUAAAGUUAUCAUCACUAACUACAUGAACCUAUUCCUCCUCUCCUUUUGGCCAAGAUGUAUUUUUGUGUUUUUCUCCCUGAAUUUUGGCAGCAUAGUUGACUUGAUUUAGUUUGUUGAUUUUGGUAUGAGCAGUAUUCUGCCCCUUGAAGCUUAUUGUGAGUUUGAUCAUUGGAUUGUGGGUUUAAUUGGAUAGCAACCUAUGUUGCUAAAAGAAAUUAAAAAGUUUUUGUAUCGUUUAACUUGACUGCAGCAUCAGGAAUAAGUCCUUCUCGCUCAGAAGAAAUAUGCGAUAUUUUAAUGUUAUGAUUCUUGCCCCAGCGGUUUCCUGUGAAGCUAAUUUUCUCAAUCAAUAUGCCAAGUAAAUGAAAGUGCAUGUUGCUAUUAUGGUUCACACUGUAUAGUAAAUAGUAAUGGGUAAGGGUGUCGUAACUUAUUUUAGUUACUGAAUUGUUGUGUCAGUUAUAUAUGUGCUAAAUCCAUAUGCUUAUAUAAUACCAAUGAUAUGCAAUUUCUUACUUAUUUACUGAUGAUAGCUUUCUCUGACUUGGAAUCAUUAAUUAGGAAACAAAAGUAACGGUGCAGUUUGAGGAGCAGUCAGAUUGAGGGAUAAAUGCAAGUAGCAGAACUGAGGAAAUACAACAAUGACUAAAGAAUUAUGUUGUUGAAACUGCACUAAGAGUUGAGAACCUCGAAUUUUGAAGAUGGUUUCUAGGAAAGACAAUUGCAGACAGGACUUCGCAACAUAUGCAGAGACGUGACAUGGUGAAGCAUUGGAUCACACUCAACAAACCUUAUACAUAUUUAUAAUACAAGGUUAUGAGCUCGGCAGCCAGUCAUCACAGGGGCGAUGAUAUAUCCUUCUUCAUGCCUUUUAUAGAGAAGAAAACAGUGGCAGGUUCGAGCCUUACAUUGUUGCACACAAUGGCCUUGUGUAUAUGACUUUAUGUGCCUCAAACUCAAAUCUAUGCAGGACUAUUGCAGGACAGUAUUACUCUUUUGAUUUCAUUAGGAGAUUUCUACUAUUAUGUCAAUAUUUAAUGUGGAGCAUGGAGGCUAUCAGGAAUUUCUCAUGUAAGGAUGACGAUGAAAAACAUUAGCAGGCAAAAUCAAAUGAUGAAUUUCGUGUGUUGUCUCAUGUCAUGUCUUUUUAUGGCAUUUAAUCUUUUGGCUUUGAAGUUGUACUAUUAAAAAAAAGUUUUGUUCUUUCAAGAAAUUUCUAUGUAGCAUAAAUAGUCAGCAACUAUGUACACUCCGUAUGUACAUAUCCUAUUUACGCACAACAA